rnacentral:rRNA from 1 species
UACGUAGGGUGCGAGCGUUGUCCGGAAUUAUUGGGCGUAAAGGGCUCGUAGGCGGUUUGUCGCGUCGGGAGUGAAAACCCAGGGCUUAACCCUGGGCUGGCUUUCGAUACGGGCAGACUAGAGGUAUGCAGGGGAGAACGGAAUUCCUGGUGUAGCGGUGAAAUGCGCAGAUAUCAGGAGGAACACCGGUGGCGAAGGCGGAUCUCUGGGCCUUACCUGACGCUGAGGCGCGAAAGCUAGGGGAGCAAACAGG